ACACUCCUACGGGAGGCAGCAGUGGGGAAUUUUGGACAAUGGGCGAAAGCCUGAUCCAGCAAUGCCGCGUGAGUGAAGAAGGCCUUCGGGUUGUAAAGCUCUUUUGUCAGGGAAGAAACGGUGAAAGCUAAUAUCUUUUGCUAAUGACGGUACCUGAAGAAUAAGCACCGGCUAACUACGUGCCAGCAGCCGCGGUAAUACGUAGGGUGCAAGCGUUAAUCGGAAUUACUGGGCGUAAAGCGUGCGCAGGCGGUUUUGUAAGUCUGAUGUGAAAUCCCCGGGCUCAACCUGGGAAUUGCAUUGGAGACUGCAAGGCUAGAAUCUGGCAGAGGGGGUUAGAAUUCCACGUGUAGCAGUGAAAUGCGUAGAUAUGUGGAGGAACACCGAUGGCGAAGGCAGCCCCCUGGGUCAAGAUUGACGCUCAUGCACGAAAGCGUGGGGAGCAAACAGGAUUAGAAACCCUAGUAGUCCCAUG
rnacentral:rRNA from 1 species